CCCCCCCCGGGCCCCUGCACCUCCCCCUGGCACUGUUGGAAUUGGGCUGCGCCGGGCGCUGCGAACUGCUGCCGGGUCCCGCCCCCCCCCGCAGCACGCUUCCCCAGGGCCUCCCGCCCUUCACUCCUCCCCUGACAGCGGAGUUGGAGCAGUGCUUCCUGGGGACCCCUGCCUGGCUGCCCCCCCACCAGCAUGAGCGAGCUCAGAGGUGCUGGACGCGGGUGCCCACCCCCCGGGCACUGUUUGUGUUGGAGCCAACCCCGGUGCACAGCAGUGUGCGGGCGCUGCGGGACCCCGGCACGGGAGCACUGCAGGGCUUUG
rnacentral:lncRNA from 1 species